rnacentral:rRNA from 1 species
CGGUGGAGCAUGUGGUUAAUUCGAAGCAACGCGAAGAACCUUACCAGGCCUUGACAUGCAGAGAACUUUCCAGAGAUGGAUUGGUGCCUUCGGGAACGUCUGACACAGGUGCUGCAUGGCUGUCGUCAGCUCGUGUCGUGAGAUGUUGGGUUAAGUCCCGUAACGAGCGCAACCCUUGUCCUUAGUUACCAGCACGUUAUGGUGGGCACUCUAAGGAGACUGCCGGUGACAAACCGGAGGAAGUGGGGGAUGACGUCAAGUCAUCAUGGCCCUUACGGCCUGGGCUACACACGUGCUACAAUGGUCGGUACAAAGGGUUGCCAAGCCGCGAGGUGGAGCUAAUCCCAUAAAACCGAUCGUAGUCCGGAUCGCAGUCUGCAACUCGACUGCGUGAAGUCGGAAUCGCUAGUAAUCGUGAAUCAGAAUGUCACGGUGAAUACGUUCCCGGGCCUU